GAUGAACGCUGGCGGCGUGCCUAAUACAUGCAAGUCGAGCGAAUGGAUUAAGAGCUCGCUCUUAUGAAGUUAGCGGCGGACGGGUGAGUAACACGUGGGUAACCUGCCCAUAAGACUGGGAUAACUCCGGGAAACCGGGGCUAAUACCGGAUAACAUUUUGAACCGCAUGGUUCGAAAUGGAAAGGCGGCUUCGGCUGUCACUUAUGGAUGGACCCGCGUCGCAUUAGCUAGUUGGUGAGGUAACGGCUCACCAAGGCAACGAUGCGUAGCCGACCUGAGAGGGUGAUCGGCCACACUGGGACUGAGACACGGCCCAGACUCCUACGGGAGGCAGCAGUAGGGAACCUUCCGCAAUGGACGAAAGUCUGACGGAGCAACGCCGCGUGAGUGAUGAAGGCUUUCGGGUCGUAAAACUCUGUUGUUAGGGAAGAACAAGUGCUAGUUGAAUAAGCUGGCACCUUGACGGUACCUAACCAGAAAGCCACGGCUAACUACGUGCCAGCCGCCGCGGUAA
rnacentral:rRNA from 1 species